GAUGAAGAACGUAGCGAAAUGCGAUAAGUAAUGUGAAUUGCAGAAUUCAGUGAAUCAUCGAAUCUUUGAACGCACAUUGCGCCCGUCAGUAUUCUGACGGGCAUGCCUGUUCGAGCGUCAUUACGCCCCUCAAGUCCCCUGUGGACUUGGUGUUGGGGAUCGGCGAGGCUGGUUUUCCAGCACAGCCGUCCCUUAAAUUAAUUGGCGGUCUCGCCGUGGCCCUCCUCUGCGCAGUAGUAAAACACUCGCAACAGGAGCCCGGCGCGGUCCACUGCCGUAAAACCCCCCAACUUUUUAUAGUUGACCUCGAAUCAGGUAGGACUACCCGCUGAACUUAAGCAUAUCAAUAAGCGGAGGA
rnacentral:misc_RNA from 1 species